rnacentral:rRNA from 1 species
GGGUCAGUAGGUUGGUCGUGCCACCGGUACGUACUGGUCUCACUGAUUCCUCCUUCCUGAAGAACCGUAAUGCCAUCAAUUUGGUGUUGCGGGGAAACAGGACUGUUACUUUGAAAAAAUUAGAGUGUUUAAAGCAGGCUAACGCUUGAAUACGUUAGCAUGGAAUAAUGAAAUAGGACGAUCGAUCCUAUUUUGUUGGUUUCUAGGAUUGACGUG